UUAACAAAAACAUGUCCUUUUGAUUAUUAUUUAAGGUCUAAUCUGCCCAAUGAUGUUGUUUUUUAAUGGCCGCGAUAUUUUGAUCGUGCGAAGGUAGCAUAAUCAUUAGUUUUUUAAUUGAAAGCUGGCAUGAAUGAUUGGACGAGAGAUUUUCUGUCUCUAUUUUAUAAGUUGAAUUUUAUUUUUGAGUUAAAAAGCUUAGAUUUUUUUGAAAGACGAGAAGACCCUAUAGAGUUUUAUACUUUAUAAUUUUAGUUUGAUUUUAGUAUUAAAUCUUUUUAGUUUGUAAGUAUUUAUUUGGGGUGAUGGAAAAAUUUAAUUAACUUUUUCUUUUUAUAAUAUUGGUUUAUAGGUUUUUGAUUUACAUGUGUAGUUAAAAGAUUAAAUUACCUUAGGGAUAACAGCGUUAUUUUUCUAGAGAGUUCAUAUCGAAAGAAAAGAUUGCGACCUCGAUGUUGGAUUAAAGUUAACAUUUGGCGUAGGAGCUAAAUAUUUUAGUCUGUUCGACUAUUCAAACUUUACAUGAUCUGAGUUUAAACCGGCGUGAGCCAGGUUGGUUUCUAUCUUCAAUAUUUUAAAAUAUUUUAGUACGAAAGGACCAAAUAUUGUUUAAAUUAAUUUUUUAUUGAUUAAUAUU
rnacentral:rRNA from 1 species